ensembl:rRNA 5S_rRNA 5S ribosomal RNA
GUUUACGGCCAUACCAGCCUGGGUACGCCCGAUCUCGUCUGAUCUCGGAAGCUAAGCAGGGUCGGGCCUGGUUAGUACUUGGAUGGGAGACCGCCUGGGAAUACCAGGUGCUGUACGCU